UGAGUAAUACGCAGGAAUAUGCCUUAAAGAGGGGGACAACUUGGGGAAACUCAAGCUAAUACCGCAUAAACUCUGAGGAGCGAAGCUGGGGACCUUAGGGCCUGGCGCUUUGAGAAUAGCCUGCGUCCGAUUAGCUAGUUGGUAGGGUAAAGGCCUACCAAGGCGACGAUCGGUAGCUGGUCUGAGAGGACGUACAGCCACACUGGAACUGAGACACGGUCCAGACUCCUACGGGAGGCAGCAGUGGGGAAUAUUGGACAAUGGGGGGAACCCUGAUCCAGCAAUGCCGCGUGUGUGAAGAAGGCCUGAGGGUUGUAAAGCACUUUCAGUGGGGAGGAGGGUUAUUGGGUUAAGAGCUGAAUAAUUGGACGUUACCCACAGAAGAAGCACCGGCUAACUCCGUGCCAGCAGCCGCGGUAAUACGGAGGGUGCAAGCGUUAAUCGGAAUUACUGGGCGUAAAGGGUGCGUAGGUGGUUUGAUAAGUUGGUUGUAAAAUUCCUGGGCUCAACCUGGGCUGGAGAACCAAUACUGUUAGGCUAGAGUA
rnacentral:rRNA from 1 species